AUCCCAGAUAGACUUCCUUAUGUUUAUCUGAUUCAUGGGAGGCAAACAAUGAUGGGGAAAGUCUCGGUGGUGGCACCUACUGCAGUUUCGAUGGGAGGUGUCCUGUUAGUAACUAACCGUACAUUG